rnacentral:rRNA from 1 species
UGGGGAAUCUUGCACAAUGGGGGAAACCCUGAUGCAGCGACGCCGCGUGAGCGAUUAAGCCCUUCGGGGUGUAAAGCUCUUUCGGCAGGGACGAUAAUUACGGUACCUGAAGAAGAAGCUGCGGCUAACUACGUGCCAGCAGCCGCGGUAAUACGUAGGCAGCGAGCGUUGUUCGGAGUUACUGGGCGUAAAGCGUGCGUAGGCGGUGGUCCAAGUCUGGUGUGAAAUCUCCCGGCUCAACUGGGAGGGUGCGCCGGAAACUGGGCUGCUGGAGUGCGGGAGAGGCAAGCGGAAUUCCAGGUGUAGCGGUGAAAUGCGUAGAUAUCUGGAGGAACACCCGUGGUGCAGACGGCUUGCUGGACCGUAACUGACGCUGAGGCACGAAAGCGUGGGUAGCAAACAGG